AGCUGUGACUAAGAUAUUUUGGGGGACCUGGAACAAUGUUAUACUUUUACCACAUAGGUUUAGUUUGUUGUAGUGUAUUUUAAAGCAUACUAAAUCCACAUUGCAUGGAGUGAUGUUAAGUGGAAUAAAGAUUGUACUGGGCUCUCCAUCAAUAUUUUAUAUUUUUGUAGAUUGUACCUGAAUAAUAAAGUACUGUGAAAACCCAAUAAGAGUUGGUUAGCCAGAAAACUGUAAAAAAAUUAUAAUAGAUACAUAAUUAUAAUUAAAUAUUUUUAUUAGCUAGACCCUGUAAUCAACUUUAUUAAUCACCAGGAAUACUAAAAUUCUGCUAAAUCUAGCUGUCACUGUGACAGAGAUGCAUAGAGCAUGGUUUUUGUAACACAAAGAAUCCUUUGAGCAAGGAUGACCAUACUUUUUUUCUGUACUUGAAGUGAUAGACACAAUUUGUGUAUAAUAUUUAUCUGUUAGUGGAAAGCCUUUUCUUCUUUCAGAUAUUCUCAAACUGCCACCCAUACAUAGUUCCUCUGCGCUGUGGGCCAGCAGCUUGUGUUUGUCUCACAGAUUGGGAGAGUAGAGAAGCCAAUCAUAAACCAUACCUGAUGACAUACUAUAGUGUCCUUUCAGUCCAGGUCUGACCUCCGAGACAGAGAAAUAAACAUGCACCAGUUUGUCAGUGAGGUCAUUCUCCUGCCAGCAAAAUAUUAGAAACCUUGUAAUGUGAGGUGGACAUGUUGUGGAUGUUAAACUUUUCUUUUUUCCUGACUUCAAGAUGGCAAAUAUUCUCAGGAUUUUUUUUUAUUGUUGCCUUAUUUGGAGGUGGUGGUAGCUCCAAAAAACAUUUGUUACUUUGACCUUUGGAAAAACAUGGAAAAUUUACAGUGCAUCAUUGUGAGUUGUGGGCCACUUUCAGCCAAUUGUCAAAACUGAUUCAUCUUUCAUUCUCUAGAGGAAUAGCACUGGGCCAGGAAGUCAGACCCACACUUCUUCCAGUCCAAAUAGUCCACUGUCUCUGACAGUGGCACUUGGGGACAGAGACAUAAUUGUCCAAGGGGAUGGGCAUAUUUGUAUCUUUCUUACUCCUCUCCCUCCAAAAACCAUGUUCCUUUCUCCCAAGUAUUUGUCUUCCUACAUAACUUUGAGGUCAUUCAUGAAUGGAUCUAACCCUGUUUUGAAUGUUUUAGCCUUUUUUCUCAGACUUAGUUUUCUGUUUUCUUAUUUUAAUUUCCAAACUUUCAGUUGUUUGUGAUUUCUUCAUUUAUGAUUUAGCUGAGGGGUGAGCAAACUUACUUUGUAAAGGCCAGAUAGUAAAUAUUUGAGGCUUCCUGAAACAGAUGGUCUCUGUUGCAACUACUGAAACCCACUGUUGUGAUGCAAAGACAGCCAUAAACAACUCAUAAAUGCACCAGUGUGGCUGUGUUCCAGAAAAACUUCAUUUAUGAAAGUAGGCAGCCAUCUGGAUUUGGCCCAUGGAUAGUAGUUUGCCAAGCCCCAAUUUAAAUCUCAGCAUUUUGUCUCCUAAAUCUCAGCCUUUUCUCCUGGAUUAUUUUAGUUGCUUUUCAAGUGUCUCCUGCUCUAUUGUGUCUUCCUGGGGUCCCAUUGAGCACAUUAUGUACUGCACUAGAUGAUGUACCGUAGUUGAAACGAGCAUAGUACAAUGUCUUUUGCUAGCUUUCCUCUCUGUGUCCAUGACUUGAUUGAUUUUAUAGUAAUUUAGUUGAUUGUUUUCAGGAAGUAUGUUCCAGUGGCUCAUCUUUAUAUUUGUGUCAUGAUUGAUAGCAUGGAGCCUGUCAUCCUUAAUAUGUUUUAUAUCAUUUUCUUACUAUCAUAUGUUUGCCUAUGUUUAAACUCAGCUUUCUAAUCCUUACUCCACAUCCAUCUUUUGAAUUUAUCACUGUCAGCUAGCAGAGCUGAAUGCAAUCAGUGGAUUUGGAGAUGUUCCUGAAUUUCUUCUUGCAAAUCAUUUGCAAGAAUUGUAAGGCAAAUCCAUCCUAGUGUUAAUUCCUUUGGUACUUUCAUUUUCUCUUCUCUUUCCAGAACUAGAGCCAUUUAGUCAUACUUUUUGUUAAUGUCUUUCUGAGCCACAUUUCUAUUUCUUUUGAAACAUUUCCCCAAACCCAUAGUGAUUCAGUCUUUUAUUGCAACAAAAAAUAUAAGUAAAUAUAACAAUUAUGGUUUUCUUCCAACAUAUUCAGCAGCAGGCUAGGAAUAACAUAAAACCUAGUUAUGUACAGAGGCUACUCCAAUCAUUUUCUUAUUUGCAAGUUCUUAUAACUGGUGUCUUGUUUGAUAGUGAACUAUUAAAGCACCUCAACAGGUCAGUCAUCUUAUUAAAUGUUUGACAUUUAUAAGGAAAUUAUCUUUCAUCUUAAGCUCUUGUCAUUAACAUUUUUUAAUUUGACUUACUAGUGAAAAGUAGUGAAUAUGCCUAUGUGUUUAUGAUGACAUCUGUAUUAGUAUAUUUUGCCACAGGAGGAAAGCAAACAUCCUCAUAACUUUAAGCUUUUUGUGGUGUGAAACUAUUAUAGUCUUUAUGAUUACCUCUGAGCUCUACUCUUCGUGUUGAAGAUACUUUCCUAGUGAAAAUAUACAUUAUCUAAACACUGUCCUAAUUUUAGUAGAAACAUGUGUUUCUACUAAACACAUGUUAAAGUUGGUUGUUCGGCCAAAUUUACUCUGCUGGUACAUAGUUCACACAUGAUAAACUAAUCUUUUUCUUUUGAAGAUUCAUUUUCUGGAGGUUGCUGUGUGGCCAAGUGGUUUUUUUUUUCCUUUAUGUGAUAGAGUACCAGAUGCCUGUCUGUUUUGUUCUAGAGAAAAAUUUCAAGACAUGUUUUAUCUCUUGUUAUACAUGUGCUAUGACAUCUUUUAGUACCAACUUUACCAGUUUUUUGAAGCUGGGAUCAAAAUUGUAUUUCCUAGGGUCCUUCCAUGUUGGGUCUUAUCACUCUGGUAUCCACAAAGAGCUUGAAAAUCUGCAAAAUUCCGAGUUGGGAUCACUGUAUCGUCAGUGUUCCUUUUAAAGACGUAUCUGCUCUAUUCUGUGCCCUUUACAUAAUAAGUGUGGCAUGAUUCCUUCUCUACUGGGAACAUUAAGACUAAGUCUACCUCUUGACAAGAUUCUCAUGUACAUGAAUGCAAAAUACUCAUGUGAAAGGUGAAAAUGUGAAGUAGAGGUUGACUUAGUUGCAUUGGGCCUGAUGGAAAGAGUGCUUGUACAAAAAAUGAGAUCUCUCCCUAAAUAUUUUACUAGAUGGCCUUAAGUUAUUUGCUUAACAUUUCUCUCCUUCCUUUUCCUGCUGGCUGCUUGCUUUGCAAAGUUGUUCUUAUUUGGAUGAAAUGAGAUUAUUAAAUUGAAAGGAUGUGACAACAUGAAGUUAUAAAAAGAUGGUAAUAAGAGCUAUUCCUAAAUGAAUAUUAUACCAGCCCAAGAGGUAAAUGAAGAAAAGGUUCUGGCUCUAGACAGCAGGCCUCCUCAAAGGAAAUUCUCAUCUUUGCUAUCAUUUCUAUAUUCACCCCCUUAAACUGUCCUGGAAGUCAGCAGUCCGUGUCCCUGGUGCAUGCAAAGUAUGUGAUCAAUACUGCUAGACUGCCUAGAGACUGGGGGUGGGACAUGCCUAAUUAUAUCCCCUUAUUACCACAACUUUUCCUCAGAAGGGCUUGUGUGGCUUAGUUCCCUAGAUAAUAAGCAAAAUGUAGAAGAACUU